AGAGUUUGAUCCUGGCUCAGAACGAACGCUGGCGGCAUGCCUAACACAUGCAAGUCGAACGCGUGUAGCAAUACACGAGUGGCGCACGGGUGAGUAACGCGUGGGAACCUGCCCAGUGGUAGGGAAUAACUGCGGGAAACUGCAGCUAAUACCCUAUACGCCCUACGGGGGAAAGUUUUUCGCCAUUGGAGGGGCCCGCGUCGAAUUAGCUAGUUGGUGAGGUAAGAGCUUACCAAGGCGACGAUCCGUAGCUGGUCUGAGAGGAUGAUCAGCCACACUGGGACUGAGACACGGCCCAGACUCCUACGGGAGGCAGCAGUGGGGAAUAUUGGACAAUGGGGGAAACCCUGAUCCAGCAAUGCCGCGUGAGUGAUGAAGGCCUUAGGGUUGUAAAGCUCUUUCGACGGGGACGAUGAUGACGGUACCCGAGAAGAGCC
rnacentral:rRNA from 1 species